rnacentral:rRNA from 1 species
UUGGACAAUGGGCGCAAGCCUGAUCCAGCAAUGCCGCGUGUGUGAAGAAGGCCUUCGGGUUGUAAAGCACUUUUGUCCGGAAAGAAAUCCGUCUGGCUAAUACCCGGACGGGAUGACGGUACCGGAAGAAUAAGCACCGGCUAACUACGUGCCAGCAGCCGCGGUAAUACGUAGGGUGCGAGCGUUAAUCGGAAUUACUGGGCGUAAAGCGUGCGCAGGCGGCUUUGUAAGACAGAUGUGAAACCCCCGGGCUCAACCUGGGAACGGCCUUUGUGACUAGAAGGCUAGAGGGCGUGAGAGAGAGGUGGAACUCCGCGUGUAGCAGUGAAAUGCGUAGAGAUGCGGAGGAACACCGAUGGCGAAGGCAGCCUCCUGGGACGACACUGACGCUCAUGCACGAAAGCGUGGGGAGCAAAC